GGAAACUGGAUGUUCUCCUAAAACAGCCACCUAGCCAAGCUGAACCAACAGAGAUGUAUUGAUCACCGGGUCAAUGGAACUAGGUGGGUGCUGGGGGGAAAGUCAGCAGGUAAGUCAGGUGAGGACUGCCUCCCUUCCACUCCCCACCCAGAGACUGAAGACAGACAGACAGACAGAGGCGUUCAUUCAGAAAGAAGUAGGAGGGCUUCAGGGAUUCAGCGGAGGAGACUGAAAGCCUGAGAGACGAUGCCUCUGAGAAGGUUACAGACCUUGGGAGAAAGCGCUUUCACCUCCUCACCACAGACACUCUCGACUGUGGACUCAGGACACUAAGCCAGAAAGGUGACGAUUUCCUUCUUGAACCCGGCCUGCAUCAGCAGCUCAGACCCAGGGCUCCGGGUCCUUUGCUCUAUGUCCAGUGCUCUUUUUGCUCCCUCACACACUUAGCGAUGGCAGUGUUCUUAGUAUACUCAAAGAGCUUUGUAAUGAAUUAGAGCAGCCAUUCCCAACCUUCCUAGUGCUGCGGUCCUUUAAUACAGUUUCUUAAGUUGUGGCGAACCAUCCCCCCCACCCCCAACCAUAACAUUAUUCUUGCUGCUGCUGUUAUGAAUCGUAAUGAAACAUUUGAUCUGCAGUACAUCUGAUAUGUGAUUCCCGAGAAAGGGCCAUCAUAUUCCAAGGGAUCGGGACCCACAGCGUGAGAAGCCCUGAACUAGAGAUCCGCCUAAACUGAGAAACAACCUAGCACCUAUCCCAGCCCAUCAAUGUUGUAUAUGGCAACAGAUUCAAAAGCCCAGACUAAAACAUACUCACCAUCCAUGUUACCAGCUCUCACCAUGGGGCAGCAAUGUGGAUUUAGUAAGCAUAGCCCACGGGCACUCAUUUUGAAGACACUAGGAGAACUUCAAAGCCAGGUUUGUUCUUCUGCCUCUGGUGACAUUUUUAAAAUUUCAGCACUGUUUUUUUUUUUAAUUGAUUCUUUGUGAAUUUCAUAUCAUGCACCUCAGUCCUGCACAUCUCCUGUCCCCUCCCUCCCUCCAACCUCCACCCUUCCCCAACAAAGAAAAAUAAGUCCCCACUAUGGAAGCUGUAGUGUGCCAUCGUGUGUCCUUUUGUCCACACUUCUUUGCUUGCAAGUGCUCAUUGCAUUGACUUUGUUGGUCUGGUACGAGUCAGGCCUCUGGCUUCUGCUAUGCUAACGAUGCUAGAACCUUACUGAGACUCCUCUAGGGUAGACUGUUGUCACCCCGUGUGUCAUGGAGACCCUGUAGUUUUGGAUCUGCAGGACUGGCUUCUUCACGUACUCCAGCAGUUCAUUGAUGGGAUAGACGUGGGGUGGGCUAACUCAAAGCCCUGGAUCUGGGCCUGAGAGGUGUCUGAGCUGCUCAGCCCACCAGCUCUCCAGUUCUUGUGGCCUUUGGAUUGGCUCGCCAGCAACCCCCUCUCCCAGGGCUAGCUCUCCUGGCUGACCAGGUCGGUCCUUAUAUUUGCUUUAGGAACCUGACAAGACUGACUAGCCAUCUCUAGCAUUCAGAUAGGUGGAACUUCAUUGUGCUGAAGUUAUGUUUGAGCACCCUCUGCUGGACAAAUCAGGUAAGUACAGGAUUUUUUUUUUUUUUUUUGGUCUUGUGCCUUUUAAAUUCAUGCUCCGAAGAAGAGAAGAUUUUUAUCUCGAAUCUACACUAAAAGAAGUCUCCUCUUUAAACAGAUGCUCUAUGACUACCAACAAUGUACCAGUGGUAUUCGUCUCUUGCAGAUCUGGAAGAAAAUGAAAUUUAGAUGUGAGCGAGCAGUCUCCUUCCUGCUGCUGCAGCUGCAAGCUGCUCCUGCCGCCCAUGCCUUCUCUACUGCCAUGCCUUCCCUACCACAAGGGCCAGAACUCUCACACUGAAAGCCAGAAUAAAUCCUUCCUCUCUUCGGUUGGUUGUUGUCAGGAGAAGGCAGCAGCUGGCAUCAAUGGUGUGGUGAGGAGAGAAUCAAGUUUCCUUCUCCAGUUCAAACAGACGAAAGUGAAGCGACAUAGGCUCAAGGACAGGGUCACUGGGCUAGCGCCACACCAUGGAGCCAAACCCCGAGCCUUCUAAAUUGUGAGCUGGGCAUGGUGGUUCACCCCAGGAAUCGCAGCACUGAGGGAUGAAGGCGAGAGAGUCACUGUGGGUGUGACAUCAGUCUGGCCUGAAGUCUGAGACUGUUUUUUUAAAAAGAAAACAUUUUUUUAUGUCAUAUAUUUAAUUAUAUAAAGAUUCUGUUGUUUUGUUGUUGUUGUUGUUAAAAUUCAGCCAGGAAAUUUCCAUCUGUCUGGUGUUAAUUGGUUGUUUUUCAGCACUAAUUGGGAAAUGAUAUAUUUUUAUUGUUUUAUAAAUAGAGUAAAACCCCUCAGAAACUGCUGGGGAAAUUUAAACAAGGAAAGCAAUUCUAUGUCCUUGCUUGACACCAGUUUGUCCCAGAGGUGACACAACUGUGUAGUUUUUGAAAACACUGGGCAUUUAUAUAUAUAUGAGACAAAACCCCACUGUAUAGCCCUGGCUAACUCGAAACUCACUAUGUAAAUCAGGCUGGGCUUUGACACACAGAGCUCUGCCUUUGCCUACUCAGUGUUGGGAUUUAACACCCACACCACCAUAGCCAGCCUUCUCUCCAAGGGGCAAAUUUCUUUCUGAAGCAACUUCCUCAUUUAUUAACAGUAUUGCUUCCAGACCCCGUGUGUGUGUGUGUGUGUGUGUGUGUGUGUGUGUGUGUGUGUACAGAUAUGUGUUUGCAAGUAUUUAGACACAAGUUGAUGCAGACUACACCAGUUUCAUGAAAUUGUUCCCAUGUCAGUGGCUAGUCUGAGCCUUUUGUACUUGUAAACAGCUGGCUGUAAACUGGGGAUUCCCAUACUCUCCUCUUCAGCCCCAUAAUUAUCAUGGUGAUUUGCAACCUGUAGGUAAUGACCCGUUUGGCUCAUAUAUCAGAUAUUCUGCAUGUCAGAUAUUUAUAUUUUGAUUCAUAACAAUAGUAAAAUUAUAGUUAUGAAGUAGUAAUGUAAAUAGUUACACUGUGGGGGUCACCACAACACGAGGAACUGUGUUAAAUGGCUUCAGCAAUAGGAAGGUUGAGAGCCACUGAUUUAUUAGGUCAUUUCAUGGAUCGUGGGGAUGCUUUCUACUUUCAUCUAUUGUUUAUUACAAAAGAUGUAGACAGACAGAUAGAUAGACAGACUCACAGAUAAAUAGAAAAAUAGAUGACAGAAAGAUAGAAAGUUAGGUAAAAAGAUAAAAAGAUAGGUAGAUGCUAGAAAGAUAGAUAGACUCAAAGACAAAUAGAAAGAUAGAUAAUAGAGAAAGGUGGAAAGAAAAAUAGAUAGAUGAUGGAAAGAUAGGUAGAUAGACUGACAGAAUGA
rnacentral:lncRNA from 1 species